GUGAAAAGACAUAGGAGGUGUAGAAUAGGUGGGAGCUUCGGCGCCGGUGAAAUACCACUACUCCUAUUGUUUUUUUACUUAUUCAAUGAAGCGGGGCUGGAUUUACGUCCAACUUCUGGUUUUAAGGUCCUUCGCGGGCCGACCCGGGUUGAAGACAUUGUCAGGUGGGGAGUUUGGCUGGGGCGGCACAUCUGUUAA
rnacentral:rRNA from 1 species